UUUGCGGAGAGUUUGAUCCUGGCUCAGGAUGAACGCUGGCGGCGUGCCUAAUACAUGCAAGUCGAACGAGGUGCUUUUGUAGCAAUACGAAAGUAUCCUAGUGGCGAACGGGUGAGUAACGCGUUGGUGACCUACCCCAAAGUGUGGGAUAACAGUCCGACAGGAUUGCUAAUACCGCAUGUGGUUAUUGGAUUUAGAAACCGAUAACUAAAGGAGCAAUUCGCUUUGGGAGGGACCUGCGUCCCAUCAGCUAGUUGGUGAGGUAAUGGCUCACCAAGGCU
rnacentral:rRNA from 1 species